GAUCAAGUGUCUUAAGGGCAAUUGGUGGAUGCCUUGGCAUGCACAGGCGAUGAAGGACGUGAUACGCUGCGAUAAGCUACGGGGAGGUGCGAAUACCCUUUGAUCCGUAGAUUUCCGAAUGGGGAAACCCACCUAAGGUGCUUGGAAAAUCAGAGCAGCCAGUGGUCGAAAGGCCGACUUGCUGCUGUGGUUUCCAAGUAUCUGUUAUAGGUAACUUAUCCUGAAUACAUAGGGAUAAAGUGGCGAACGCGGGGAACUGAAACAUCUAAGUACCCGUAGGAAAGGACAUCAACCGAGACUCCGGCAGUAGUGGCGAGCGAACCCGGACCAGGCCAGUGGCGAUGAUGAGACAAGCGGAACCUUCUGGAAAGUAGGGCCAUAGUGGGUGACAGCCCCGUACGCGUAAUGCAAAUCAUCGUCCUCGAGUAAGGCGGGACACGUGAAAUCCUGUCUGAAAUUGGGGGGACCACCCUCCAAGCCUAAGUACUCGUGCAUGACCGAUAGCGAACUAGUACCGUGAGGGAAAGGUGAAAAGCACCCCGACAAGGGGAGUGAAAGAGUACCUGAAACCGAUUGCCUACAAACAGUGGGAGUCCAAGGUUCGUCCUGGGUGACCACGUACCUUUUGUAUAAUGGGUCAGCGACUUAGUGUGACGAGCAAGCUUAAACCGCUAGGUGUAGGCGCAGCGAAAGCGAGUCUGAACAGGGCGUUCAGUUCGUCGCAUUAGACCCGAAACCGAGUGAUCUAGCCAUGAGCAGGUUGAAGGUAAGGUAACACUUACUGGAGGACCGAACCCAUAACUGUUGCAAUAGUUCGGGAUGACUUGUGGCUAGGGGUGAAAGGCCAAUCAAACUCGGAAAUAGCUGGUUCUCCGCGAAAUCUAUUUAGGUAGAGCGUCGACCGAAUACCCCAGGGGGUAGAGCACUGGAUGGGCUAGGGGUCCUCACCGGAUUACCAAACCUAACCAAACUCCGAAUACCUGGGAGUACUAGUCGGCAGACACACGGCGGGUGCUAACGUCCGUCGUGAAAAGGGAAACAACCCUGACCUACAGCUAAGGUCCCCAAGUUAUGGCUAAGUGGGAAAGGAUGUGAGGAUCCCAAAACAACCAGGAUGUUGGCUUAGAAGCAGCCAUCAUUUAAAGAAAGCGUAACAGCUCACUGGUCUAAAUAAGGGUCUUUGCGCCGAAAAUGUAACGGGGCUCAAGCCAUACACCGAAGCUUAGGGUUCGUGAGCAAUCACGAGCGGUAGCGGAGCGUUCUGUAAGCUGAUGAAGCCAUACCCGUGAGGGGUGGUGGAGGUAUCAGAAGUGCGAAUGCUGACAUGAGUAACGUAAGGGGAGUGAGAGACUCCCCCGCCGAAAGUCCAAGGGUUCCUGCUUAAAGCUAAUCUGAGCAGGGUUAGCCGGCCCCUAAGUCGAGGCAGAAAUGCGUAGACGAUGGGAACCACGUUAAUAUUCGUGGGCCUGGAGGAAGUGACGGAUCAUUGAGGUAGUCCAAUCUUAUCGGAUUGAACGGGCUGCUGCGUGGUUCCAGGAAAUAGCUCCUCCUUAUAGACCGUACCCGAAACCGACACUGGUGGACUGGUAGAGUAUACCAAGGCGCUUGAGAGAACUAUGCUGAAGGAACUCGGCAAAUUGCACGCGUAACUUCGGAAGAAGCGUGACCCUUUUCCACGCAAGUGGAGGAGGGUGGCACAGACCAGGGGGUAGCGACUGUUUAUCAAAAACACAGGGCUCUGCGAAGUCGCAAGACGACGUAUAGGGUCUGACGCCUGCCCGGUGCUGGAAGGUUAAGAGGAGGGGUGCAAGCUCUGAAUCGAAGCCCCAGUAAACGGCGGCCGUAACUAUAACGGUCCUAAGGUAGCGAAAUUCCUUGUCGGGUAAGUUCCGACCUGCACGAAUGGCGUAACGACUUCCCCGCUGUCUCCAGCAUAGACUCAGUGAAAUUGAAUUCCCCGUGAAGAUGCGGGGUUCCUGCGGUUAGACGGAAAGACCCCGUGCACCUUUACUAUAGCUUUACAUUGGCAUUCGUAGUGGCAUGUGUAGGAUAGGUGGUAGGCUUUGAAACCUGGGCGCCAGCUCAGGUGGAGCCACCCUUGAAAUACCACCCUUAUCACUAUGGAUGUCUAACCGCGGCCCGUCAUCCGGGUCCGGGACAAUGUAUGGUGGGUAGUUUGACUGGGGCGGUCGCCUCCUAAAGAGUAACGGAGGCGCGCGAUGGUGGGCUCAGAACGGUCGGAAAUCGUUCGCUGAGUGCAAUGGCAUAAGCCUGCCUGACUGCGAGACUGACAAGUCGAGCAGAGACGAAAGUCGGUCAUAGUGAUCCGGUGGUCCCGCGUGGAAGGGCCAUCGCUCAACGGAUAAAAGGUACGCCGGGGAUAACAGGCUGAUGACCCCCAAGAGUCCAUAUCGACGGGGUUGUUUGGCACCUCGAUGUCGACUCAUCGCAUCCUGGGGCUGGAGCAGGUCCCAAGGGUAUGGCUGUUCGCCAUUUAAAGCGGUACGUGAGUUGGGUUCAGAACGUCGUGAGACAGUUCGGUCCCUAUCUGCCGUGGGUGUAGGAAUAUUGAAAGGAUCUGUCCCUAGUACGAGAGGACCGGGAUGGACGGAUCUCUGGUGGACCUGUUGUGGCGCCAGCCGCAUAGCAGGGUAGCUAUAUCCGGACGGGAUAACCGCUGAAGGCAUCUAAGCGGGAAACCCACCUUAAAACGAGUAUUCCCUGAGAACCGUGGAAGACGACCACGUUGAUAGGCCGGGUGUGGAAGAGCGGCAACGCUUGAAGCUUACCGGUACUAAUAGUUCGAUCGGCUUGAUCGUUCUCAUU
rnacentral:rRNA from 1 species